GGAGUAUAUAUAAGGAAAAUGCGUCCACCAGCGUGGCCAUUCCAGUUACGGCGGUGUUUUGAUAGUGAUGUGCAUUAAUCCCCCCCAAAGUGUGUGACAAAACAGUGAACAGUGCUGUCCACUGCCCAGUGCAACCAGUGUUUGUAUGUGUGUGUUUGGUGGCCACAUCGUAGUGCAUUCACAAGUUCUAACACAUUACACACCCCAACCAAACGCAGCAGCCGUACUCUGAGCGAUAAGAACGUUGUGAAAUGCGCGAAAGGGUUUUUCAAUCAUUUGACGGUACGCUCCCUGCAGUUGGGUAAGUUGCACUAGUUUCAGAAGUUAUUGUACAUAAAAUUCACGUUUCUAUUACAUCUACGUUUUUAUUUUUUACUUAAUUUUACUAUCAAAACAGACGAGGAAUUAUUAUUAUAACUUUAUCUGGAACUUUUAAUGUUUUAGAUUUUUUAUUUGAAAAUAUUCUUUAGCUGUCGAUCGUUGUUUGACUUAUUCCAAAAUAAGUGCAAAUGAUAUUUAAUUUGCUUUAUUUCCCUUAAUUUGCUGCUCAGUAUGUGUUAUCAAAUGGCCUAUUUGUAAUACCGUCUGAUAACAUUACUUUAUUUACUACAACUUUUAAAUGAUAUCUGUAGCAAUUGUGGUUCGCUAUGGCAAACGAGAUUAGCAAUCCGCCAAGCAACUAUGUUUGCUAAUCAGUUAGGCAAUGGCUUUUCCCCCGUUUUACCAUUUAAUUGGUUUACUCAUAUGAUCAUUGUACUCCAUUUUAUUUGUUUUAGCUUCCCAAAACAAGCAAGUGAGUUGCUGUCUCAAGAGCUGUGCUGUUAAUAGUUUUCCCUUGAUUUAACUUUCACAACUGUAAGCACCUACUGCGCUUGCUAUCUUCACAUGAACUACAUACAUUCCCAUGCUUACACUAUCGAAUGACAGCGGUUUCAUGCUUACUGCUUACACUAUGAACAAAUUCUUAGAAAACAUGCCCGAUAUCGUCGAUCGGAGUUUGUUGUUUCCAUUGUACCACCACUGCUGUACACAUUCUUGUACAAUUUGCUCAACUCUUCGAGUAUUGCUAAGCGAACCAGCAUACCUGCGCUGAAUCACUAGGCCUAAGCGAUCGCUUGUGACUAACCGUUGACUAAUUUCCAGCUAAAUGGGUUUCAUCGCUCGUCAACAACCAACUGUUGUCCCGUGUGAUUGGCCCGAGUUCCGGUCGCUGCGUAACAGCCGUUAGAACUUUCGCGCCACCUCACCAUGACUCAGACGCGACGAUGAUGAUGCAGCCAAGCACCGCGCUAUGCGCGACUUUCUCGGUAAUGAAGUCAUAAUCGCCGUACCGCGUGGAGCCAGUGGUCGGCAAAGGGGGCUGAAAAACACUUCUCUGCACCUUGAACCAACACCAGUGACGCACCCUUCGGUGUUUAUCGAUGCACAAUCGAUGCAUUUCGAGUGCAGCAUUCGUGCAGCACGUGUUAGAGGGUGGUGUAAACAACAAAUAACAACUCAGCUGGGUUGAUUCCUCUAUUUCAAAGGGUCUGCUGUCUAAGAUAUUUGAAACUUCCGUCAUCUUGAGCUAAUAGUUUUUUUAUUACAUUUUUUAACCUUCCGCAAUACAGUUUUUUAUUUUAAUAGUUUGUAGGAAAAAAUAAAGAAAGCAAUAAGAUAUCGACGGUAUUGGAAAUUGUAAAGUCUAAUAGCUUUUUAUUUAUUUAUUUCCUUCCGCUUGUAAUGUGUGUCUUCUUUUUUCUAAUCUCGUAAAAUAAACGGAUCCACGAAGCACGCUCAAAACCCUAGCUAAACGCAUAAUAAAACGGCAGAAAGCAACGCGAAAUCGACAAAAAAAGUAAAUUAAAUAGUUAGGCGAACAGGAGAGAAGCAAAAAAAAUCAAUUUCCUCAUCAUCAACGUGAUCCACCAGGCGAGCGUGUACCUAUACAUCCCGAUCAUGAUCGAGAGAGAUCGACAAGAAGACGCACACGCGAAGAACACUCGCGCAGCUCGUCUACCGCUUUGCCUUGAAUGUGCCUUGAACGCCAAAGAAACGGAAGAACAACGUACACAGCGUGUUCGUUACCGCGGUGGGUAUAUGUAUCGCUCGCUUCCUUCCCACAUCACACACACACACACACACAGAUGGGGAGCAUUGCCUAACCCCCAUCCACCCUCCCCUUUCCCCGAAAUUGCAUGUUCGAUCUCAUCAAUCGAUCGUGUGUGUGUCUCCCAUCCUCCGUACAGCAAGCUCCACAUCCAGCAAGGUUUAACGCAUUUCGUCUACACCGUCUAAUCAAACACACAAACAAUCGUGCGCACACGCACCGGCAGCCCUAGCGCAGAAGAGGAGGAACGCACGGAAACGAAAGCGAACACCACCGGAGCGGGCUGGCGAUGCGUGCAUCAUUUUUCCCUCGCGCGUUGCCGCCCAAAGAUGCGCUCCCGAAUGGUACGCACCACCGUACACACCACCGAGUGCCGGGGGCGGGGGUUGGAAAAAUUAGAGGCAAGACGACCUGGACUGGGUUAAACGUCGGUGCGUUUCAGACACAGUUGCGCCUGCCAGUUGCUUGCUCGCCGGCUUGCGCGAUACAGUUACGGAUACACGCAGCAGCACACGCACGCAACGGUU